rnacentral:rRNA from 1 species
CUGCAGCCCGAGUGGUGAUCGAUUUUAUUGAGCCUAAAGCGUCCGUAGCCGGUCUAGUAAACUCUUGGGUAAAUUGGGCAGCUUAACUGUCCAAAUUCCGAGAGGACUGCUAAACUUAAAACCGGGAGAGGUCAGAGGUACUCCAGGGGUAGGGGCUAAAUCCGAUAUGCUUUCGUGGCAUUCGGUUAGCAUUCCUGUAAUCCUUGGGGGACCACCAGUGGCGAAGGCGUCUGACUAGAACGGAUCCGACGGUAAGGGACGAAACCCUGGGGCGCGAACCGGAUUAGAUACCCGAGUAGUCC